CAGAGACAAGUGGGUAUCCUUGGGGUGUGGCUGCCAUGCCGGGCAAGUCACGUCAUUUGUCCCCUGCAGGUCCUCCUUGUCUUUCGUUUCUGUUCUGCAGUCUUGGUAGACAACAUUGGGGCCCAGGUAGACUGCCCUUAGGAACUGACAUUGGAGCUGAGGCUUGAAGGGUGGGGUGGGCCCAGAGAUGCUGAGAGGUGGGGAGGGAACUUCAGGGACACAGAACAGUUCAGCACAUUAGACACGAGAAACUAGAGAGAACUCUUAACUCAGCGUCUGCUCUCAAGGUACUGACAGUUUAGGCUGGUUGUCACGCUGGUAAGCUUGAUUCACUGCCACUUCCUGCCUUUAUGAAACUGAUCCUUCCUGUAACCCCCAACCUCCGGCUGCUGUUAAAACUAGGUGUGUCUUCAACUUGCACUUGGGCUCCAGAUUACCUUGAAGGACCUGUGGAACUGAUGCCUUGGGCCAGCCUCAGCUAAUGUCUGCAAGAGACACCAAUCUGCCCUGGGAGAUCCUCUGCACUGUGUAAUGGUAGAGAUUGUGUGAUGCGCGCUCUUUGGGGGUCAGCUGCUGCCUUUGGCACUUUCUCUUUCUUUCAACCUCCCUGUGCAGCUCCUUAGAUUCCUUUCCAUUUCAAGGAGGAAAGUCAAGAUAUCUUUACUCAGUGGAAGAAUGAUGUAGUUUCCUCCUAACCUUCUUUUCUUAUGCUUCCAGAUGCCCUCUGGAAGGUUACGAUGGGAAUGAGCCUGACGACUUGGACGGUUUCCCCGACUUGUUGCCUCUGCCCGCAAGUUUGUCCUUCGGAAGUCAGGAAAGUGCUGCGCGUGGUGGUGGCCUCCCAGGAACAAGGCGU
rnacentral:lncRNA from 1 species